rnacentral:rRNA from 1 species
GGGGCAGCACGGUUAGCAAUAACUGGUGGCGACCGGCGCACGGGUGCGUAACACGUAUACAAUCUACCUUAAACAGGGGGAUAGCCUUUCGAAGAGAGAUUAAUACCCCGUAAUAAAUUGAACGGCAUCGUUUGAUUUUGAAAGCUCCGGCGGGUUUGAGAUGAGUAUGCGUCUGAUUAGCUAGUUGGUGAGGUAACGGCUCACCAAGGCGACGAUCAGUAGGGGAUCUGAGAGGACUAACCCCCACACUGGUACUGAGACACGGACCAGACUCCUACGGGAGGCAGCAGUAAGGAAUAUUGGUCAAUGGAGGCAACUCUGAACCAGCCAUGCCGCGUGCAGGAUGACGGCCCUAUGGGUUGUAAACUGCUUUUAUACAAGAGAAAAACCCUGGUACGUGUACCAGGUUGAUAGUAUUGUAAGAAUAAGCAUCGGCUAACUUCGUG